rnacentral:ncRNA from 17 species
GCAGAUGAUGAACAAUGGGUCUGCUGAAAUUGAUGAUGACCCGUUGGAGCACUGAUG